rnacentral:rRNA from 1 species
UAGGGAAUCUUCGGCAAUGGACGGAAGUCUGACCGAGCAACGCCGCGUGAGUGAAGAAGGUUUUCGGAUCGUAAAGCUCUGUUGUAAGAGAAGAACGAGUGUGAGAGUGGAAAGUUCACACUGUGACGGUAUCUUACCAGAAAGGGACGGCUAACUACGUGCCAGCAGCCGCGGUAAUACGUAGGUCCCGAGCGUUGUCCGGAUUUAUUGGGCGUAAAGCGAGCGCAGGCGGUUAGAUAAGUCUGAAGUUAAAGGCUGUGGCUUAACCAUAGUAGGCUUUGGAAACUGUUUAACUUGAGUGCAAGAGGGGAGAGUGGAAUUCCAUGUGUAGCGGUGAAAUGCGUAGAUAUAUGGAGGAACACCGGUGGCGAAAGCGGCUCUCUGGCUUGUAACUGACGCUGAGGCUCGAAAGCGUGGGGAGCAAACAGGAUUAGAUACCCUGGUAGUCCACGCUGUAAACGAUGAGUGCUAGGUGUUAGACCCUUUCCGGGGUUUAGUGCCGUAGCUAACGCAUUAAGCACUCCGCCUGGGGAGUACGACCGCAAGGNUG